rnacentral:rRNA from 1 species
AGCGCAGGUGGUUGUAUAAGUCUGAAGUAAAAAGGCAGUGGCUCAACCAUUGUGUGCUUUGGAAACUGUACAACUUGAGUGCAGAAGGGGAGAGUGGAAUUCCAUGUGUAGCGGUGAAAUGCGUAGAUAUAUGGAGGAACACCGGUGGCGAAAGCGGCUCUCUGGUCUGUAACUGACACUGAGGCUCGAAAGGCGUGGGAGCAAACA